CACAAACGCUGCGGCCCCGUUGGCGGUUACCCGGCAACCGCGGCACCCGAUUGUCGGGGGCUGUGACGCUGGGCGGGUCUCGGUCCCCGCUCGUUCCAGCCUUGGUGCCCCCUCGGUCCCUGGGCGGAAUCCACUCCGGGGCCCGGAACGUCACGGGCCAGACCCUCGCCCUCAGCUCCGGGCUGCUCCUUCUCAACGGGAAAAACCCCGGUCUCAACAGUUUGUGUUCAGCGCAGAGCAGAAGUGGGAAUCAGCCAGCUGCAGAUGGGGCCGCAGAUUGUGUGCUGCUCGCCAUCCUGGGAGUUCAGAAUGUCCUGCAGUAUGGCUGAGCUAUGAGACUUGUGGAGCAGAAUUAUGAAAAGGUGAAGCACAAACAUUUCUUAUGCACCUAUAUUGCAUUACCAACUCAAUUUAGACCUCUGAAGUAUUCAUUAGAGUCAAGAGCAUAUCCAACCACAAAUUUAUCUGGAAUUUCAAAGCCUGUAUCUGUAAAAAAAUACAGUUCUUUUUAUACUUCA